rnacentral:rRNA from 1 species
UACGUAGGGGGCGAGCGUUAAUCGGAAUUACUGGGCGUAAAGCGUGCGCAGGCGGUUCGGUAAGUUCGUUGUGAAAGCCCCGGGCUCAACCUGGGAACUGCAAUGGAAACUGGCGGGCUUGAGUGCGGCAGAGGGGGGUGGAAUUCCGCGUGUAGCAGUGAAAUGCGUAGAGAUGCGGAGGAACACCGAUGGCGAAGGCAGCCCCCUGGGCCGACACUGACGCUCAGGCACGAAAGCGUGGGGAGCAAACAGG